AGAAGUGACCGGGCAGGAACACCAGCCCCCUGCAUCCAGACUAGACCAGCCCAGCUGCAGGACCCCAGAGGACACCACCAGGAUCCCCAAUUAAGUUUGUACCCGCAGCAAU